rnacentral:rRNA from 1 species
UACGUAGGGGGCAAGCGUUGUCCGGAAUCAUUGGGCGUAAAGAGCGCGUAGGCGGCCCUGUAAGUCCGCUGUGAAAGUCAAGGGCUCAACCCUUGGAUGCCGGUGGAUACUGCAGGGCUAGAGUCCGGAAGAGGCGAGUGGAAUUCCUGGUGUAGCGGUGAAAUGCGCAGAUAUCAGGAGGAACACCGAUGGCGAAGGCAGCUCGCUGGGACGGUACUGACGCUGAGGCGCGAAAUCGUGGGGAGCAAACAUG